AACGAACGCUGGCGGCAUGCCUAACACAUGCAAGUCGAACGAGACCUUCGGGUCUAGUGGCGCACGGGUGCGUAACGCGUGGGAACCUGCCCUUAGGUUCGGAAUAACUCCCCGAAAGGGGUGCUAAUACCGGAUAAUGUCUCCGGACCAAAGAUUUAUCGCCUUUGGAUGGGCCCGCGUUGGAUUAGCUAGUUGGUAGGGUAAAAGCCUACCAAGGCGACGAUCCAUAGCUGGUCUGAGAGGAUGAUCAGCCACACUGGGACUGAGACACGGCCCAGACUCCUACGGGAGGCAGCAGUGGGGAAUAUUGGACAAUGGGCGAAAGCCUGAUCCAGCAAUGCCGCGUGAGUGAUGAAGGCCUUAGGGUUGUUAAGCUCUUUUACCCGGGAUGAUAAUGACAGUACCGGGAGAAUAAGCUCCGGCUAACUCCGUG
rnacentral:rRNA from 1 species